UCUGGGGCACCGCGUGGAGAGCGCAGCUCAGCUAAAGGCCUGACAUGGGCUGCCAGCCGGGCGGCCACCUGGCUCAGUGCCCCCGGGGCCACCUCUCCGGCUCCCUAGCCUCUGGCAGGAGGGGUUCCAGCGUGCACUCCCGUCCCAGAAACUCCCUCUGAGCGGCUCCGGGGACCCAGAGCAGAGCAGGCGGGAGGAGCCGCCUCCAGGCCUACAGGCCGAGCUCCGUCCGGAUCCAGCUGCAGCCGGAGGGAGAUGCGCGUCCACGUGACUCCCCGACGACUCAGGGCUUGACGAGAAGGGUUAUUUAUUAGAAUCUCUCCCUGGCCGUUGGACGCCGCCCUUCACGUCUGUGUGUGCGGUUGUGCAAUCCUCCAGCCCUAUAAAGGCGGUGACCCUGCCGCCUCUGGAGCCUCUGGAGCCUGGCCUCCCCUGAGCCUCCUUCCCCGGGCCUCCGGCCACCCGCCCGCCGCCACCAUGAGGGUCCUCCGCCUGCUGCUGCUGGCCCUAGGCCUGCUCCUCUCCCAGCUGGGCCCAGGUGCCUGCCAUCUGACGAUUCUCGGCCAGCGGACUGACAGCUACAUAUGUGCCAGGAAAGGGGGGACCUGCAACCUGUCGCCCUGCCCACUCUACAACAGGAUUGAGGGCACCUGCUACAGGGGCAAAGCCAAGUGCUGCAUCCGUUGACUCUGAGCUAGGAGCGAUGGCAGAGGGGAUGAGGAGCCAUGUGAAGUAUUUGUAACCAUUGUUUUAAUAAAAGAAGGAUUUUGUGAGGCAUA